rnacentral:lncRNA from 1 species
CCUACAGCCAGACGCAGUCGAGCAUCCCUUCGAAACCUUCUGGAUUCGCGGACACGUUUUAGCUCACGGAUUGUAGAUGAUACAGAAAGCAGUUUCAUGUCGUGAUCAAAGGAUAACUGGAGAAUCACAUACAGGUUAAGUUUAAGUCUGUUUUGGAAUAUGUUGCAUUUCGUAUGUUGUAUUUAAUUUUCCUUCACCUCAUUUUUUGAGCCUCAAAGGAAGAUUGCUAGUUGUAUUUAAUUUAUUCAUUUUUUUCACUUGACUUGUACAAUAUUAUAGCUCUAUCCUCCCCCACUUUUGAUAGUAAACUUGGAAAAAGAAAUGUAUUGAUGGAUUGUGUUGAUCUAACUCUUUGAAGUCAAGAAAUCAAUUUUGAAAAUUC